rfam:Lactobacillus brevis ATCC 367, complete genome.
UGCGCGGUUUAGGAGUGGUUACCUAUCUGGUCUCAUAAACCAGUACACGUUGGUUCGAAUCCAACCUGCGCAA